rnacentral:rRNA from 1 species
UACAGAGGGGGCAAGCGUUGUUCGGAAUUACUGGGCGUAAAGGGCGCGUAGGCGGCCUUCUAAGUCGAACGUGAAAUCCCCGGGCUCAACCCGGGAACUGCGUCCGAUACUGGAAGGCUUGAAUCCGGGAGAGGGAUGCGGAAUUCCAGGUGUAGCGGUGAAAUGCGUAGAGAUCUGGAGGAACACCCGUGGCGAAGGCGGCUCCCUGGUCCGAUUCUGACGCUGAGACGCGAAAGCGCGGGGAGCGAACGGG